CAGCAGCCACGGUAAUACGAAGGGUGCAAGCGUUAAUCGGAAUUACUGGGCGUAAAGCGCACGUAGGCGGCUUGGUAAGUUAGAGGUGAAAGCCUGGAGCUCAACUCCAGAAUUGCCUUUAAGACUGCCGAGCUAGCAGGUGAGAGAGGUAAGUGGAAUUCCGAGUGUAGAGGUGAAAUUCGUAGAUAUUCGGAAGAACACCAGUGGCGAAGGCGGCUUACUGGCUCAUACUGGACGCUGAGGUGCGAAAGCGUGGGGAGCAAACAGGAUUAGAGACCCCCGUAGUCCCUGUCUCUUAUAC
rnacentral:rRNA from 1 species